GGUUAAGCGACUAAGCGUACACGGUGGAUGCCCUGGCAGUCAGAGGCGAUGAAGGACGUGCUAAUCUGCGAUAAGCGCCGGUAAGGUGAUAUGAACCGUUAUAACCGGCGAUUUCCGAAUGGGGAAACCCAGUGUGACUCGUCACACUAUCAUUAACUGAAUCCAUAGGUUAAUGAGGCGAACCGGGGGAACUGAAACAUCUAAGUACCCCGAGGAAAAGAAAUCAACCGAGAUUCCCCCAGUAGCGGCGAGCGAACGGGGAGGAGCCCAGAGCCUGAAUCAGCAUGUGUGUUAGUGGAAGCGUCUGGAAAGGCGCGCGAUACAGGGUGACAGCCCCGUACACAAAAGCGCAUGUGCUGUGAGCUCGAUGAGUAGGGCGGGACACGUGGUAUCCUGUCUGAAUAUGGGGGGACCAUCCUCCAAGGCUAAAUACUCCUGACUGACCGAUAGUGAACCAGUACCGUGAGGGAAAGGCGAAAAGAACCCCGGCGAGGGGAGUGAAAAAGAACCUGAAACCGUGUACGUACAAGCAGUGGGAGCACAGGUUUACCUGUGUGACUGCGUACCUUUUGUAUAAUGGGUCAGCGACUUAUAUUCUGUAGCAAGGUUAACCGAAUAGGGGAGCCGUAGGGAAACCGAGUCUUAACCGGGCGUUAAGUUGCAGGGUAUAGACCCGAAACCCGGUGAUCUAGCCAUGGGCAGGUUGAAGGUUGGGUAACACUAACUGGAGGACCGAACCGACUAAUGUUGAAAAAUUAGCGGAUGACCUGUGGCUGGGGGUGAAAGGCCAAUCAAACCGGGAGAUAGCUGGUUCUCCCCGAAAGCUAUUUAGGUAGCGCCUCGUGAAUUCAUCUCCGGGGGUAGAGCACUGUUUCGGCUAGGGGGCCAUCCCGGCUUACCAACCCGAUGCAAACUGCGAAUACCGGAGAAUGUUAUCACGGGAGACACACGGCGGGUGCUAACGUCCGUCGUGAAGAGGGAAACAACCCAGACCGCCAGCUAAGGUCCCAAAGUCAUGGUUAAGUGGGAAACGAUGUGGGAAGGCCCAGACAGCCAGGAUGUUGGCUUAGAAGCAGCCAUCAUUUAAAGAAAGCGUAAUAGCUCACUGGUCGAGUCGGCCUGCGCGGAAGAUGUAACGGGGCUAAACCAUGCACCGAAGCUGCGGCAGCGACACUGUGUGUUGUUGGGUAGGGGAGCGUUCUGUAAGCCUGUGAAGGUGGCCUGUGAGGGUUGCUGGAGGUAUCAGAAGUGCGAAUGCUGACAUAAGUAACGAUAAAGCGGGUGAAAAGCCCGCUCGCCGGAAGACCAAGGGUUCCUGUCCAACGUUAAUCGGGGCAGGGUGAGUCGACCCCUAAGGCGAGGCCGAAAGGCGUAGUCGAUGGGAAACGGGUUAAUAUUCCCGUACUUGGUGUUACUGCGAAGGGGGGACGGAGAAGGCUAUGUUGGCCGGGCGACGGUUGUCCCGGUUUAAGCGUGUAGGCUGGUUUUCCAGGCAAAUCCGGAAAAUCAAGGCUGAGGCGUGACGACGAGGCACUACGGUGCUGAAGCAACAAAUGCCCUGCUUCCAGGAAAAGCCUCUAAGCAUCAGGUAACAUCAAAUCGUACCCCAAACCGACACAGGUGGUCAGGUAGAGAAUACCAAGGCGCUUGAGAGAACUCGGGUGAAGGAACUAGGCAAAAUGGUGCCGUAACUUCGGGAGAAGGCACGCUGACACGUAGGUGAAGUGAUUUACUCAUGGAGCUGAAGUCAGUCGAAGAUACCAGCUGGCUGCAACUGUUUAUUAAAAACACAGCACUGUGCAAACACGAAAGUGGACGUAUACGGUGUGACGCCUGCCCGGUGCCGGAAGGUUAAUUGAUGGGGUCAGCGCAAGCGAAGCUCCUGAUCGAAGCCCCGGUAAACGGCGGCCGUAACUAUAACGGUCCUAAGGUAGCGAAAUUCCUUGUCGGGUAAGUUCCGACCUGCACGAAUGGCGUAAUGAUGGCCAGGCUGUCUCCACCCGAGACUCAGUGAAAUUGAACUCGCUGUGAAGAUGCAGUGUACCCGCGGCAAGACGGAAAGACCCCGUGAACCUUUACUAUAGCUUGACACUGAACAUUGAGCCUUGAUGUGUAGGAUAGGUGGGAGGCUUUGAAGUGUGGACGCCAGUCUGCAUGGAGCCGACCUUGAAAUACCACCCUUUAAUGUUUGAUGUUCUAACGUGGACCCGUUACCCGGGUUGCGGACAGUGUCUGGUGGGUAGUUUGACUGGGGCGGUCUCCUCCUAAAGAGUAACGGAGGAGCACGAAGGUUGGCUAAUCCUGGUCGGACAUCAGGAGGUUAGUGCAAUGGCAUAAGCCAGCUUGACUGCGAGCGUGACGGCGCGAGCAGGUGCGAAAGCAGGUCAUAGUGAUCCGGUGGUUCUGAAUGGAAGGGCCAUCGCUCAACGGAUAAAAGGUACUCCGGGGAUAACAGGCUGAUACCGCCCAAGAGUUCAUAUCGACGGCGGUGUUUGGCACCUCGAUGUCGGCUCAUCACAUCCUGGGGCUGAAGUAGGUCCCAAGGGUAUGGCUGUUCGCCAUUUAAAGUGGUACGCGAGCUGGGUUUAGAACGUCGUGAGACAGUUCGGUCCCUAUCUGCCGUGGGCGCUGGAGAACUGAGGGGGGCUGCUCCUAGUACGAGAGGACCGGAGUGGACGCAUCACUGGUGUUCGGGUUGUCAUGCCAAUGGCACUGCCCGGUAGCUAAAUGCGGAAGAGAUAAGUGCUGAAAGCAUCUAAGCACGAAACUUGCCCCGAGAUGAGUUCUCCCUGAGACUUAAAGUCUCCUGAAGGAACGUUGAAGACGACGACGUUGAUAGGCCGGGUGUGUAAGCGCAGCGAUGCGUUGAGCUAACCGGUACUAAUGAACCGUGAGGCUUAACCUU
rnacentral:rRNA from 1 species